UACGUAGGGUGCGAGCGUUGUCCGGAAUUAUUGGGCGUAAAGAGCUCGUAGGCGGUUUGUUGCGUCUAUCGUGAAAACCUGCAGCUUAACUGUGGGCUUGCGGUGGAUACGGGCAGACUUGAGUUCGGUAGGGGAGACUGGAAUUCCUGGUGUAGCGGUGAAAUGCGCAGAUAUCAGGAGGAACACCGGUGGCGAAGGCGGGUCUCUGGGCCGAUACUGACGCUGAGGAGCGAAAGCGUGGGGAGCAAACAGG
rnacentral:rRNA from 1 species